rnacentral:lncRNA from 1 species
GAUUGCAAUUAACACUUAACCACAACUAAUUCUUCUCAUCUUUCGUCUUUAGGUCUAGAUCUUUCUUAAGGAUCUCAUCUUUAGAACUUCUCUCUUUCUUUCUGUUCUCUUUUCUUUCUUUUUUUUUAAAAAAAAACUCAAUCACAUAUUAGGGUUUGCAUUGGUACAUGCAUGGUAUAAUUUUUUUAUUUUGAUCUAAUUGAAUCUAAUUUUGAAAUUAAACGGC